CUGGUUUCUAGGGUUUUUAGGCAGUUUUAGUUUUCUACCGUAGGAUUUUCGUACAAUUUGCAUUGUUUUCAAUCUCUUGUGUGAUUGGUUUAUUUUGAGUUUUCUUGAAGAUUUAUGCCUGUAACCCGUUCUACUAAUCAAAUUCAAGUGCAGUUGGAUCUCGAAAUAGAAAACACUUUACGCAGGUUACGAAAGGAAGCUCGUCUCAACACCAUGGCUGUUGCACGACAACAAACACUCAAGGAGCUUGCUGCUCCUAACGUGGAAAAUCAGCCACUGUGCAUAAACAUCGACAAUAAUGUAAACUUUGAGCUCAAAUCUGGUUUUAUACAUUUGCUACCAACAUU
rnacentral:lncRNA from 1 species